rnacentral:rRNA from 1 species
AUCCUGGCUCAGAUUGAACGCUGGCGGCAUGCCUUACACAUGCAAGUCGAACGGCAGCACGGGAGCAAUCCUGGUGGCGAGUGGCGAACGGGUGAGUAAUAUAUCGGAACGUGCCCAGUCGUGGGGGAUAACGUAGCGAAAGCUACGCUAAUACCGCAUACGAUCUAUGGAUGAAAGCGGGGGAUCGCAAGACCUCGCGCGAUUGGAGCGGCCGAUAUCAGAUUAGGUUGUUGGUGGGGUAAAAGCCUACCAAGCCUGCGAUCUGUAGCUGGUCUGAGAGGACGACCAGCCACACUGGAACUGAGACACGGUCCAGACUCCUACGGGAGGCAGCAGUGGGGAAUUUUGGACAAUGGGCGCAAGCCUGAUCCAGCAAUGCCGCGUGCAGGAUGAAGGCCUUCGGGUUGUAAACUGCUUUUGUACGGAACGAAACGGUCCUUUCUAAUACAGGGGGCUAAUGACGGUACCGUAAGAAUAAGCACCGGCUAACUACGUG